rnacentral:rRNA from 1 species
AUUGAACGCUGGCGGCAGGCCUAACACAUGCACGUCGAGCGAGCGGCGGACGGGUGAGUAAUGUCUGGGAAACUGCCUGAUGGAGGGGGAUAACUACUGGCAACGGUAGCUAAUACCGCAUACCAUCAGAUGUGCCCAGAUGGGAUUAGCUAGUAGGUGGGGUAAUGGCUCACCUAGGCGACGAUCCCUAGCCGGUCUGAGAGGGUGACCAGCAACAGGGGGACUGAGCCACGGUCGAGACUGCUACGGGAGGCAGCAGUGGGGAAUAGUGCGCAAGGGGGGCAAGCCUGAUGCAGCCAUGCCGCGUGUGUGAAGAAGGCCUUCGGGUUGUAAAGCACUUUGAGCGGGGAGGCGGUACCCGCAGAAGAAGCACCGGCUGACUCCGUGCCAGCAGCCGCGGUAAUUC